rnacentral:tRNA from 1 species
GGAUAUAGUUCAGCAGUAGAACAUGUGCUUAGCAGGCAAGAAGAGGUCCUGGGUUCAAUCCCCAGUACCUCCA